UUUUUUAUAUGAAGAAUAGAUAUUGUAAUUGUGCCUCCAUUACGUCUAAAAGUCAGGUAUCGGAAAACUGUCAUUGGCAUAUCUCUGUCAUGAUGGAAGAUUGGUUAGACAGAAAAAGGACCUCUGGUUAUGUAUGACAUGAUGCGAGGCACAUAUCUCUGAAUGAAGCGCAACAAGAAUUGACAUCCUCUAAUGCUAACUGUUGACCAUUCUUCUCUGAAGUAUCAGGUCAGUAUCCCAUGUGCCCCCUAUUCAUCUGUCAUCGCUGCAUAAAAAUUUAAUGCAGUUUUUAAGCCUAUGUUUAAGGAUAGCUAAAUCUCUAUGGACCAACCAUAUUAUCUUUUUGAGAUAAUAAAUCAACCUUCAUCAUGUACUUAUGUUGUAACUUCUCCCAUCUUUUGUGCUAUUAUCUAAAAGAGGUGUGGAUUGGAAUCAGUUUUUUUUGCUGCACCCCCAUUCCGACGAGGUCACGCACACAUACCACCGGGAAUCCCACGGACCCUAUGUUCGAGCGCGAGCGACGGCAAUAGCAUCUGCAAGUACUUGACCAACACGCUACCCGGGUGUGGUAUCCACUAUUGAGGCCAAGCAACCUAGCUCGGUCAUCCUUAAGUGUGCUUGUGUCCACCACCUGAUGAAGAACGGGAGAAGAUUGCUGACUUUGUGCCUAAUGAUGGUUGCCUGAACUUCGUAGAGCAAAUUGACGAGGUGUUGAUUGCUGAAUUUGGUCUUAAGAGGCACGUCGUGGGAGAUAUCCCUUGUGGCAGGUUCAAAGUUGUGAUGGUAUCUGGUGUCUCCCAGCGAGAUUUGUUCCUUCUCUUAACAGUUACUAUUAAGAACAAAUUUAUGUUUCCAGCAAAAAAGUUGGCCGGCCCCAGCAAAAAAAAAGAACAGUUCCAGCAAAAAAAGAUCGUCGCCGUGGUCACAGGUGUCAACAAGCAGUCUUCGGAAUCAUCAAUAAGCCAACAGCGAGAAAUAAGUUUAAGAAUUGAGUUCCCUUAACAGGGAAAUAAGGAAGGGAAGAAACAAAUAGGGAACAAUCAGAUGAAGCAUCAAG